GGCCUCUCGCGUCAGGAUAUGCCUAGGUGGGAUUAGCUAGUUGGUGAGGUAAGGGCUCACCAAGGCGACGAUCCCUAGCUGGUCUGAGAGGAUGAUCAGCCACACUGGAACUGAGACACGGUCCAGACUCCUACGGGAGGCAGCAGUGGGGAAUAUUGCACAAUGGGCGCAAGCCUGAUGCAGCCAUGCCGCGUGUGUGAAGAAGGCCUUCGGGUUGUAAAGCACUUUCAGUCGUGAGGAAGGUAGUGUAGUUAAUAGCUGCAUUAUUUGACGUUAGCGACAGAAGAAGCACCGGCUAACUCCGUGCCAGCAGCCGCGGUAAUACGGAGGGUGCGAGCGUUAAUCGGAAUUACUGGGCGUAAAGCGCAUGCAGGUGGUUUGUUAAGUCAGAUGUGAAAGCCCGGGGCUCAACCUCGGAAUUGCAUUUGAAACUGGCAGACUAGAGUACUGUAGAGGGGGGUAGAAUUUCAGGUGUAGCGGUGAAAUGCGUAGAGAUCUGAAGGAAUACCGGUGGCGAAGGCGGCCCCCUGGACAGAUACUGACACUCAGAUGCGAAAGCGUGGGGAGCAAACAGGAUUAGAUACCCUGGUAGUCCACGCCGUAAACGAUGUCUACUUGGAGGUUGUGGCCUUGAGCCGUGGCUUUCGGAGCUAACGCGUUAAGUAGACCGCCUGGGGAGUACGGUCGCAAGAUUAAAACUCAAAUGAAUUGACGGGGGCCCGCACAAGCGGUGGAGCAUGUGGUUUAAUUCGAUGCAACGCGAAGAACCUUACCUACUCUUGACAUCCAGAGAACUUUCCAGAGAUGGAUUGGUGCCUUCGGGAACUCUGAGACAGGUGCUGCAUGGCUGUCGUCAGCUCGUGUUGUGAAAUGUUGGGUUAAGUCCCGCAACGAGCGCAACCCUUAUCCUUGUUUGCCAGCGAGUAAUGUCGGGAACUCCAGGGAGACUGCCGGUGAUAAACCGGAGGAAGGUGGGGACGACGUCAAGUCAUCAUGGCCCUUACGAGUAGGGCUACACACGUGCUACAAUGGCGCAUACAGAGGGCGGCCAACUUGCGAAAGUGAGCGAAUCCCAAAAAGUGCGUCGUAGUCCGGAUUGGAGUCUGCAACUCGACUCCAUGAAGUCGGAAUCGCUAGUAAUCGUGGAUCAGAAUGCCACGGUGAAUACGUUCCCGGGCCUUGUACACACCGCCCGUCACACCAUGGGAGUGGGCUGCAAAAGAAGUAGGUAGUUUAACCUUCGGGGGGACGCUUACCACUUUGUGGUUCAUGACUGGGGUGAAUCGUAA
rnacentral:rRNA from 1 species